UGGUGUGGUUUGUGCAGAUGUUCAGAAUAUGGAUAUGUCAGCAAAGUCUGUCGAAUGUUUAGUCGAGGUCCAAUUUCAUUUGAACUUACGACCGGGCUCUGCUAUAGCUGAAUAUGUUUGUAAUUUAAUUGAUUUUUUAAUUGUUAGCAGUAGCUAACUUUGGUGCUAUUGCUUUUUUUCCCCUGCUGUUGCUAGUUUGUGGUGUAUUCAAUGAUACUGCUGUUCAAGCUGCAAAAAUUUUGUUAACUGCUAA